AGUCGGGACCCAGGGAGGGACCCGGGAGCUCCGGCGCCUCGCUCUCCGCAGCCAGGCAGCGCCCGGGAGGGCCGCUCCCUUCCCUUCUGCGCGGAGAAGUGCUGGAGACAAAAGUUUGCAACUCUGACACCUGCCCGCCAAAUGAAAGCUCUGGAACCCGUGGGAAGGAAAGGACUGUUGGCUGUUUUCUCACUCUGGGGUUCAGCCCUUCCUUACGUUAGUGAAAAAUCCCGCAAGCAUGUAGGGCAAAGAUGAACUCUGGGUGGAAAGGGGUUUGAGUGUAAAGCGGUUCUGGACACACGGGAAGGGCUCAGGGAACCUUAAAGGUGGUCGGAUGUCACCAUCUUCCCAAAGCUACUCCUUGGAUGUGUGUGUGUGUGUCCUGUCUUCGUGCGUUUAACGACAUGCCUGUCGGAAUUCUCAUCUUCAGCUUUCCCUAAAAUAAAUAAUAAUAAUAGCCCGUCCUCUUCAAAGGAGGGGGUCAUAAACUGUCUCUCUCACUAUAACUUAAUUUUUAAAAGAGCUGAUAAAACCCCAGUGGAAAGGCAAUCACACGGACAAUAAAAUGACUGCAAAAGCUGGAGUCAGUCCUGCUGAGAGAGCGAGCAGGAGAGCGGAGAGACGGAACCAGAGAUGCGUGAUUCAUCAAUGCUCGCUUUCUCGGCUUCAAACUUCGCUCAGAACUGCGGGUGAAACCCACUUCGCCUUGCCUUGUCCUCCCUCUGGUGGAGAAUUCUAAAGAGCAGGAAAAUCCAGAAAACGUUAGCACCCCGCUGCGGAGGACAAAAGUUAAAGGCCACCGCGGAAUGAUCCAGAAAACGUUCUCACAGUUUUAUCAGAGCUGUGGCUAACUUAGAAGGUUCUUUUACAGUGACAGGCUCAUGUGUUGUGGUCUGGAAGAGAAUAAUCCUAGAAAAACUGUGAUUCACUGCCACUACAUCAAACAUUGGUCAUUCAUAAAGGAUCAUUUGCUGCUGCACGAGUGUCUGCCUUCUGUGUUCCUUCAGCCGAGCACCUUCGUUUGCGCCCUUAUUUGUUUUCCAGUCUGUCUCUGCCCUGCGGGAAUGAGGCCUCAGGAGUCACCCCUCAGGUACGCGUCCGACACCUGCAUGUUAAAAUGAACAGACCGCAAAUGUAUUCAAAGAAUUCACAAUUUGCAUUUAAUUCAACUUGAGAGUGAUGGAGCAGCAGUCGAAGGGUUUUGAAAUCUUUCCAAAUACAAGUUCUUACUCCCACGCGAAGGAGACUUCCACGAAAUAGCCACGACUUUUCCAGGCUCUGCAGCUGUGUGAGCUGUAUCUUCACGGACUGGUUCAGCCAACAGUUAUGGUUAGCAGGUUCAAGGUUAAGGCUCGCUGGUCUCUAUCAUUACAUUUUUAUGUACUUAAAUCCAUUUUAGUCCCCUUGUCGACCUACUCUAUGCCUUAUUUGUCCACGUUAAAAAAAAAAAAAACCUUGUAUACUGAUAUCAAUGCUUGUUACUCACUAAGCAUCAUAAGGAGGUAUUAUAAAGUUCAACUCAUUCCUUAUUUGUAAAUUUGUCUAUAAAGAAAAAUAAUAACUUGAUGAUGUGCUAUUUUGUGAUUGCUUAAAAAGGCCUCCCUCUCAGAAACUGCAUGUCAGCCAGCAGCCCCAUCUCCCAUCCCCUCCUCUCUGCUUCUGGGUCUGAGCGCCUCCCAGGGUCACGGUCUCCACCUUGAACCUUGGAUGGAAGCUUGGCAAAGAAAGCACCAAUGAGUCAGCGCACUGAAUUCUGACUCUGCCGCCUCCCAGCUGUAUUAUCUAUCGUAGCACAUCACUGUUGUGAGGAUUAAAUGAGCCCCUGUGAGUCAAGUGGCCAACCUGCAGGAGGCGCUAGGAAAAUGGCACCUCUGCUGGUUGUCACUGUCUCCUGACUUCCAGCUGCUGUUGCUCCUACAUCUCUGAAUCCACGUUUCCCCAAACAGCUCUGAAUCCAGGCCAACUUUUUUACUAAAAGAAGAGGCAAUUUUUAAAAAACUAUUCAGUAGUUACUGAAUAGGUACUUCUGAAUUAUCCCAGGCCAUUGUCU